GACGUAGGGUGCAAGCGUUGUCCGGAUUUACUGGGCGUAAAGAGCACGUAGGCGGCUCGUUAAGUGAGAAGUGAAAGCUGUGGGCUCAACCCACAAACCGCUUUUCAUACUGGCGAGCUGGAGUGAUGCAGAGGUGGAUAGAAUUCCCGGUGUAGCGGUGAAAUGCGUUGAUAUCGGGAGGAAUACCCGUGGCGAAGGCGGUCCACUGGGCAUCAACUGACGCUGAGGCGCGAAAGCGUGGGUAGCAAACAGG
rnacentral:rRNA from 1 species